AUGGCCUUGGCACCUUUAGAAAGGACCACUUGGGACUCAAAAUGCCACAACACACUGGGAGGAAAAAGUGCUGUAAUUCCUCUCCAGUGUCACCCAGAAAAUGAAGCUCCACCCAUCUCCAGCUGGCCAGGUUAUGUAAACAGACAUUCAAUCAAGAGGCAUCAAGGCAUCAAAGAGAGCAUCCCCCUCUCAGAGCGAUCUCUGCAAUAAUGAUCAGAAAUCUCAGACUGUACACACUGAAAAGUUAUGUCUAGAAUGACUUGUACACCAAAUAUGAAUGGGAAAGGUAUGUAACUCAUGUUUGGAUAAUGAAUGAACAAAAGAUACUUGUAAUUAUUUCACAAAUAGGAAGGGAGGAAAAUAGUCAUAGAAUAAAUUACUUGCCAUGAAAAAUUCA
rnacentral:lncRNA from 1 species